GGGGAUGUGGCUCAAGUGGUAGCGCGCUUGCCUGGCAUGCGUGCGACCUGGGUUCAAUCCUCAGCACCCCA
rnacentral:tRNA from 1 species